rnacentral:rRNA from 1 species
GACGAACGCUGGCGGCGUGCUUAACACAUGCAAGUCGAGCGGUAAGGCCCUUUCGGGGGUACGACGAGCGGUGAACGGGUGAGUAACACGUGGGUGACCUGCCCUUAGCUCUGGGAUAAGCCUGGGAAACGUAGGGUCGUAAUACCGGAUAUGACUCCAUGACGCAUGUUGUGGGGUGGAAAGCCUUGUGCGGCUAGGGAUGGGCCCGCGGCCUAUCAGCUUGUUGGUGGGGUGAUGGCCUACCAAGGCGACGACGGGUAGCCGGCCUGAGAGGGCGACCGGCCACACUGGGACUGAGACACGGCCCAGACUCCUACGGGAGGCAGCAGUGGGGAAUCUUGCGCAAUGGGCGAAAGCCUGACGCAGCGACGCCGCGUGGGGAU